rnacentral:rRNA from 1 species
GACGUAGGGUGCAAGCGUUGUCCGGAUUUAUUGGGCGUAAAGAGCUCGUAGGCGGCUCGUCGCGUCAGCUGUGAAAACCCACGGCUUAACUGUGGGCUUGCAGCUGAUACGGGCGGGCUGGAGUUCGGUAGGGGAGACUGGAAUUCCUGGUGUAGCGGUGAAAUGCGCAGAUAUCAGGAGGAACACCGGUGGCGAAGGCGGGUCUCUGGGCCGAUACUGACGCUGAGGAGCGAAAGCGUGGGGAGCGAACAGG